GACGGAACGCUGGACGGCGUGCUUAAAACAUGCAAGUCGAACGGACUUCUCAUGAAGCUUGCGAUUGAGAAGUUAGUGGCGGACGGGUGAGUAACGCGUGGGCAACCUGCCCCUGAGCCCGGGAUAACAGUUCGAAAGGACUGCUAAGACCGGAUAUACUUGCGGGGAAGCAUUUCACUGCAAGGAAAGGGAACGCUCAGGGAUGGGCCCGCGUCCCAUUAGCUAGUUGGUGAGGUAACGGCCCACCAAGGCGACGAUGGGUAGCCGGCCUGAGAGGGUGAACGGCCACACUGGGACUGAGACACGGCCCAGACUCCUACGGGAGGCAGCAGUUGGGAAUCUUCGGCAAUGGGCGCAAGCCUGACCGAGCAACGCCGCGUGAGUGAUGAAGGUUUUCGGAUUGUAAAGCUCUGUCUUCCGGGACGAUAAUGACGGUACCGGAGGAGGAAGCCACGGCUAACUACGUG
rnacentral:rRNA from 1 species